rnacentral:rRNA from 1 species
GACGAACGCUGGCGGCGUGCUUAACACAUGCAAGUCGAGCGGUAAGGCCCCUCCGGGGGCACACGAGCGGCGAACGGGUGAGUAACACGUGAGCAACCUGCCCCUGACUCCGGGAUAAGCGGUGGAAACGCCGUCUAAUACCGGAUACGACCCUCCGGCUCAUGCCGUGGGGGUGGAAAGUUUUUUCGGUUGGGGAUGGGCUCGCGGCCUGUCAGCUUGUUGGUGGGGUAAAGGCCUACCAAGGCGAUUACGGGUAGCCGGCCUGAGAGGGCGACCGGCCACACGGGGACUGAGACACGGCCCAGACUCCUGCGGGGGGCAGCAGUGGGGAAUCUUGCGCAAUGGGCGAAAGCCUGACGCAGCGACGCCGCGUGGGGGAUGACGGCCUUCGGGUUGUAAACUCCUUUUACCACUCACGCAGGCCCGGAGUGUUCUUCGGGUUGACGGUAGGUGGGGAAUAAGGACCGGCUAACUACGUGCCAGCCGCCGCCGUAA